UACGAACCGUGCGGACGUUGUUCGGAAUCACUGGGCUUAAAGGGCGCGUAGGCGGGUGUGCAAGUCUGUGGUGAAAGCCUCCAGCUUAACUGGAGAAGUGCCAUGGAUACUGCACAUCUUGAGGAGGGUAGGGGCAUCUGGAACGGUCGGUGGAGCGGUGAAAUGCGUUGAUAUCGACCGGAACUCCGGUGGCGAAGGCGAGGUGCUGGACCCUUUCUGACGCUGAGGCGCGAAAGCCAGGGGAGCAAACGGG
rnacentral:rRNA from 1 species